AAAAAUUACUUUACACACAAACCCUAAACCUAGCAAAUUACCGUCACUCCUCAUUUCCCCUUCCAUCUCUAUCGCCUCCUCCAGGCCUCAACCCCACCCAAACUCUCCCAACUCAGGCGAGUUCACCUCAAACUCACGCACAUGGUCCUUCCUCUCUCUCUUUGCCACGUAUCCUAAUGACUUCUGACAAACGAAAUUAUUCUUUCUGGAUUUCACGCAUGCUCUCUCAUUUUUUCUUUCAGAUUUAUGCUCUUUUGGCGAAAAUAGGAAACAUAUGGGGCGUAGGAUCGAGUCACAUUUGAUCUACUCUUUACAUCUGUCUUAUCUCGCCAAUUCGAGAUUUUCUGGAUUCUGGGGGUGAUUUUCGGAUUCUUUGGCAUGCAAGGAGAGAAGGUUCGAGAGAAGUUAUAAUAAGAGGUUUUUUCGAUUUUUUAUGAAGAAGAGAUUUUUGAUAGAAAAAAUAGGGUUCUAAGAGAGUGCUCUUCUUCUCCUCAAUUGUCCAUCUACAAUUUUUUUAGUUCUGAAAAAAGAAGGAAAAAAAAAAUACUUUCAGGAGAAUUGACUACACUUUCAGAAAUUUUUUUCCUUUGUCCAUCAUCUCCUGUUCUGAAAUAGCCAAUAUAUAUUUUUAAAAAAAAUCUUCAUUUCUUCCUUUCUUACUACUUCAUUGCUAUUGGGAUUUUCUGGAUUUGAAGUUUACUGAGCUUCAUUUUCUGCUUGAUUGCUGCUGAUUUCUGUCAAGUCCUAGUUGAUUCAACUUUAGUUGUGCUUCUCAAUCUCAGAGGCUUAUUUUCUUUUUGUUCUUACUGCUGUCCAGGUAUUGAUUUAGAUUCUGAAAAUGUAAUACCCUUUAAAUGGUAUAAUUUCUGGUUAAUUUCCAUUUAUCAUGUAAAUCUAUGUGAUGUUUAGAUAAUAAUUUGAUGG
rnacentral:lncRNA from 1 species